rnacentral:lncRNA from 1 species
UGUGGUUAAAUGAGAGAGAUGAACCACGUCCGGUGACUCUGCCUCUCUUUUUAGUGCGUUUUCAUACACACUAUCUGUUGAUUUGUCCACCGUGCCGUAGACAUAAUCAUAGAGUGGACAGAAAAGAGUGUAAUUUGUCCGAAACUGGGUGUGAUGCAGAGAGUGAAACCUGUCGUAACAAAGAAACAAAACCCGAAUAUGAAACAACUAUAUUCGUAACACACACGCACACACACAAAAAAGAAAAAAGAAAAAGGAACAAGGCGUGGUAGACUUACGAAGGGGUGUAAACGAUAUAUUUGAGAGGAGGGAAGAUGGUGUAGAACCAUUGGGGAAUGAACUCGAAGUUGCAAUGUCCCAUGUUGUUCAAGAAAUCGAUAACAGUAACGUAUGUAAAGACUCCCACGAUGUUAGCUUUUCCAAUAUAUACCGAUAGCAACGUAGGAAUCAAAAGGAGCCCGUAAUACGCAAGCACUUCUGCCAUUGGGUGGACAAACGCUGCCCAAAACAAAACAAUAAUAGGUGGACAAGGUGGUAAUUAAAGUGUAUAGAUAAAGAAGUGAGAGAGGCUUACAGGUGUUGGGUUCGGUGACGAUGGAGGAGUGAUGAUGGGAGUGAUAGCGAGCGUAGAGAUAAUGGUGAUGCAAAGCUCGGUGUAACCAGUAAUAGAGGAACUCUGCCGGACCCCAAUGAAGUAGCAGUAUGAUCAGUGUCCCGUCGGCUUUAAAGAAGGGCAUGUUAAAUUGAUC